UACGGAGGGGGCUAGCGUUGUUCGGAAUUACUGGGCGUAAAGCGCACGUAGGCGGCUUUGUAAGUUAGAGGUGAAAGCCCGGGGCUCAACUCCGGAAUUGCCUUUAAGACUGCAUCGCUAGAAUUGUGGAGAGGUAAGUGGAAUUCCGAGUGUAGAGGUGAAAUUCGUAGAUAUUCGCAAGAACACCAGUGGCGAAGGCGGCUCACUGGCCCGAUACCGACGCUCAGGCGCGACAGCGUGGGGAGCAAACAGG
rnacentral:rRNA from 1 species